AGGAUGAACGCUGGCGGCGUGCUUAACACAUGCAAGUCGAGCGGAAAGGCCCUUCGGGGUACUCGAGCGGCGAACGGGUGAGUAACACGUGAGCAACCUGCCCUUAGCUUCGGGAUAGCUCCGGGAAACCGGAAUUAAUACCGAAUAUGAUUUUUGCUGACAUCAGCAGAAGUGGAAAGUUUUUCGGCUAGGGAUGGACUCGCGGCCUAUCAGCUAGUUGGUGAGGUAACGGCCCACCAAGGCGACGACGGGUA
rnacentral:rRNA from 1 species